UACUGGAGGUCCGAACCGACUAGUGUUGCAAAACUAGCGGAUGAGCUGUGGAUAGGGGUGAAAGGCUAAACAAACCUGGAAAUAGCUGGUUCUCUCCGAAAACUAUCUAGGUAGUGCCUCAAGUAUUACCGUUCGGGGGUAGAGCACUGUUUUGGCUAGGGGUCAUGGCGACUUACCAAACCAAGGCAAACUCCGAAUACCGAAGAGUACAGCUUGGGAGACAGUGCACCGGGUGCUAACGUCCGGACACGAGAGGGAAACAACCCAGACCGCCAGCUAAGGUCCCCUAAAAAUUGGCUAAGUGGGAAACGAAGUGGGAAGGCUAAAACAGUCAGGAUGUUGGCUUAGAAGCAGCCAUCAUUUAAAGAAAGCGUAAUAGCUCACUGAUCGAGUCGUCCUGCGCGGAAGAUGUAACGGGG
rnacentral:rRNA from 1 species